ACAGAAGCUGUAGAAGGCGCCAUCCUGCCUGUCACAGGAGGGCCACUGGACUGAGAGGACCGGAGCUGACUGGGGAUCAUUCAAAGCCAAAAGCCAACAGAGCCCCCAUGGAGAAGUGGGGGAUGCUCAGAUGCUGCUAUGGAGCCCUGAGAAGUGAAAUGGACCCAAGCCCUUGCCCAGGAUAGAGCGCUCCAAGUGCGUCCUCCGGGGACCCUUUUAACCAGUGCAUUGUUCACCUCUCACUGUUUCUUCCCAACAGAGCUAAGAGACUUCUAGAGCUUCUUGUGAUAGUCAGCGAUAGCCCUGGACGUUUUUGCAGAAGGGGUUUGUUGGGUGGCAGUGGAACACAGGCAGUGGACCCCUUUACUCUACUGUUCCAGAACACAGAAGCCUUUCAUCUGUGAGUCUUCAGCUCUUCCCAUUGCUCAAGAUGCUUGCACCUGUGAUGCUUCUUUUCUCUGCUCAGGUCACAAUAUGUGGAGCUGACAAGGUUCCCCUAUUUUCAGUGACAAUGGUGGAAUGUGGAGGUGAAGUUGACACCUUCGUGGCUGCAGAUUUUCCUUAGCAGAGCUGUGGAGUGUGACAAUGGUGUUUGUGUCUAAACUAUCAAACGCCAUUAUCACACUAAAUAGCUACUACUAGGCAAUCCUUCCCUCGAUAAAUGUCCUGGCAUCGUUUGCUUUGAGCAAGAAGGUUCAUCUAAUUGUUCCCAAUCUUGUGUACUUACUGAAUAAAGUCUGGUUCUCUUGCACUCAUAACCAA